GACGACGCAUUCAACUAACUGCGACUCGGGAGGCGGGACACAAGCACGAGCAACAACCCAGGCAGGGAAAGAUGGAAAGACGGGGAGUGGCUGAACACCGCCCGCGGUGCUCAGUUGAGGGAAGAGAACAACAAUGAGGGCUAAAACGAGGACACCAUGACACAACCAGUACAGAGCAUGAGUUGGCCCUCCCCCACUAUAUAAGCAUGAAGCACCUUCACGACCUGAAGCUAUCAAGAGCUGCUACAGAUUGUACCCGAAUGGAGGCAAGAGUCUGCGCCAUUAGCACGGUGGACCUUCCCCUCAAAGCGCUGACAAUAAUGAAGAAACAAAGGGAACCAAGACUCUUGAGAUUCAAAAGAUGUUUCCUCACAAAUGCCAUGGAUGGCACAGAGGAUGCCAAUCAGAUGCUUCUUUUGAAGUCUUGGCCAAGGAUGUCUAAUGUAGUGGAUACUGUACUAUGCACAAACGUUUUAUGCACAAAUAUUUUAUUUAAAAAAUAUUCAAGUUAAACACUGUUAAAUAGUUUAUUUAUUUAAGACUUUAAUGUGUGUUAUCAACAGUAUCAAUAAAAUGUUGUGCCAUC